AGCGAACGCUGGCGGCAGGCCUAACACAUGCAAGUCGAACGAACUCUUCGGAGUUAGUGGCGGACGGGUGAGUAACACGUGGGAACGUGCCUUUUGGUUCGGAAUAACUCAGGGAAACUUGUGCUAAUACCGAAUGUGCCCUUCGGGGGAAAGAUUUAUCGCCAUUAGAGCGGCCCGCGUCUGAUUAGCUAGUUGGUGAGGUAACGGCUCACCAAGGCGACGAUCAGUAGCUGGUCUGAGAGGAUGACCAGCCACACUGGGACUGAGACACGGCCCAGACUCCUACGGGAAGCAGCAGUGGGGAAUCUUGCGCAAUGGGCGAAAGCCUGACGCAUCCAUGCCGCGUGAAUGAUGAAGGUCUUAGGAUUGUAAAAUUCUUUCACCGGGGACGAUAAUGACGGUACCCGGAGAAGAAGCCCCGGCUAACUUCGUG
rnacentral:rRNA from 1 species